rnacentral:rRNA from 1 species
GACGAACGCUGGCGGCGUGCUUAACACAUGCAAGUCGAACGGAAAGGCCCUGCUUUUGUGGGGUGCUCGAGUGGCGAACGGGUGAGUAACACGUGAGUAACCUGCCCUUGACUUUGGGAUAACUUCAGGAAACUGGGGCUAAUACCGGAUAGGAGCUCCUGCUGCAUGGUGGGGGUUGGAAAGUUUCGGCGGUUGGGGAUGGACUCGCGGCUUAUCAGCUUGUUGGUGGGGUAGUGGCUUACCAAGGCUUUGACGGGUAGCCGGCCUGAGAGGGUGACCGGCCACAUUGGGACUGAGAUACGGCCCAGACUCCUACGGGAGGCAGAAGUGGGGAAUAUUGCACAAUGGGCGGAAGCCUGAUGCAGCAACGCCGCGUGCGGGAUGACGGACUUCGGGUUGUAAACCGCUUUCGCCUGUGACGAAGCGUGAGUGACGGUAAUGGGUAAAGAAGCACCGGCUAACUACGUG